GCGAACGCUGGCGGCAGGCCUAAUACAUGCAAGUCGAGCGGUCCCUUCGGGGGCAGCGGCGGACGGGCGAGUAACGCGUGGGAACGUGCCCUUUGGUACGGAACAACUGAGGGAAACUUCAGCUAAUACCGUAUGUGCCCUUCGGGGGAAAGAUUUAUCGCCAUUGGAGCGGCCCGCGUUAGAUUAGCUAGUUGGUAGGGUAAAGGCCUACCAAGGCGACGAUCUAUAGCUGGUCUGAGAGGAUGAUCAGCCACACUGGGACUGAGACACGGCCCAGACUCCUACGGGAGGCAGCAGUAGGGAAUCUUGCGCAAUGGGCGAAAGCCUGACGCAGCCAUGCCGCGUGAAUGAUGAAGGUCUUAGGAUUGUAAAAUUCUUUCACCGGGGACGAUAAUGACGGUACCCGGAGAAGAAGCCCCGGCUAACUUCGUGCCAGCAGCCGCCGUAACAC
rnacentral:rRNA from 1 species